GCAUUGGUGGUUCAGUGAGAGAAUUUUCAUCUUCCAUCUGGGAGACCUAGGUUCAAUUCCCAGUUAAUCCA
rnacentral:tRNA from 1 species